CGUAGUUGGAUUUCUGUUACUGGAGGGGUGGUCCGCCUCACGGCGAGCACUGCUAUCCUCUGUGACAUCCUCUCAAAGUUUUUAGCGGGUGCACUUAGUUGUGUGGCUGGUGAAUUUGGGAUCUUUACUUUGAAAAAAUUAGAGUGUUCAAAGCGGGGCGUUUGCUUGAAUACAUUAGCAUGGAAUAAUGGAAUAGGACUUUGGUUCUAUUUUGUUGGUUUUGAGGACCAGAGUAAUGA
rnacentral:rRNA from 1 species